rnacentral:rRNA from 1 species
UACGUAGGGUGCGAGCGUUGUCCGGAAUUAUUGGGCGUAAAGGGCUCGUAGGCGGUUUGUCGCGUCGGGAGUGAAAUCCACUGGCUUAACUGUGGGCGUGCGGUCGAUACGGGCAUCACUGGAGUUCGGCAGGGGAGACUGGAAUUCCUGGUGUAGCGGUGAAAUGCGCAGAUAUCAGGAGGAACACCGGUGGCGAAGGCGGGUCUCGUGGGCCGAUGACUGACGCUGAGGAGCGAAAGCGUGGGGAGCGAACAGG